UACGUAGGGUGCAAGCGUUGUCCGGAAUUAUUGGGCGUAAAGAGCUUGUAGGCGGUUUGUCACGUCUGCUGUGAAAUUUCGGGGCUCAACCCCGAACUUGCAGUGGGUACGGGCAGACUAGAGUGUGGUAGGGGAGACUGGAAUUCCUGGUGUAGCGGUGAAGUGCGCAGAUAUCAGGAGGAACACCGAUGGCGAAGGCAGGUCUCUGGGCCAUAACUGACGCUGAGAAGCGAAAGCAUGGGGAGCGAACAGG
rnacentral:rRNA from 1 species